rnacentral:rRNA from 1 species
CUUAGAUCUCACCCACUCCACUCCCUCCACUCUCCCCCCACAGCCGGCGACUUCAUCUCCCACCGCCGCCCCCUCUCAUCCCUUCCCCUCCACUCAUCUGACGUCGAUCAGGUGCGCGCACAACCGGCUCCCUCGUUUCCCACGGCGGCGGCGGCGAGGUGCAUGAACGCGGCGUGCGGCGCGCCCGCCCCGACGGCGGCGGGGGUGGGCGAGUGGAGGAAGGAUUGGCCGCUGUGAUCCGGCGGCUUCGCCGUGCUCUGCGACAAGUGCGGGU